rnacentral:rRNA from 1 species
AUGGGUGUUGGCUCCAACAAUUCGCAUUGGUCUCAAACCAAUGACAUGCAUUUUGAAGAGCAUGAGUUCGAGGUGGACGAGGAUGGUGAGGGUAUUGUCGACGCGCCGAAAGGAAGAGCGGGCAAUUACACCAACACCGAUGACAUCUUACUAUGCAAUACUUGGUUGCAAGUGUCAAGGGAUCCAUCCGUUGGAGGUGAUCAAAGUAGAGACGCUUAUUGGGGGCGGAUGAAAGAACACUUUGAUGUUCGCAACGUGAGUGGAAUUAACCGCUACCAUGGAGGCCAUGAGAGGCAUGGGUGGCUUUGGAGCACCCCCCGGUUCUAUGGUCACCAUGGGAGGCAUGAGUUUUUCUUCUCUCAUGGGAGGCAUGGGUCCACCUCCGCCCGUCAUGGGCGGAAUGUCUUCCGGUGUGCCUCACACACCUUCCCAUGGAGAUGCCGUUGA